rnacentral:rRNA from 1 species
AGAGUUUGAUCCUGGCUCAGGAUGAACGCUAGCUACAGGCUUAACACAUGCAAGUCGAGGGGCAGCAUGAACUUAGCUUGCUAAGUUUGAUGGCGACCGGCGCACGGGUGAGUAACACGUAUCCAACCUGCCGAUGACUCGGGGAUAGCCUUUCGAAAGAAAGAUUAAUACCCGAUGGCAUAGUUCUUCCGCAUGGUAGAACUAUUAAAGAAUUUCGGUCAUCGAUGGGGAUGCGUUCCAUUAGGUUGUUGGCGGGGUAACGGCCCACCAAGCCUUCGAUGGAUAGGGGUUCUGAGAGGAAGGUCCCCCACAUUGGAACUGAGACACGGUCCAAACUCCUACGGGAGGCAGCAGUGAGGAAUAUUGGUCAAUGGACGAGAGUCUGAACCAGCCAAGUAGCGUGAAGGAUGACUGCCCUAUGGGUUGUAAACUUCUUUUAUAUGGGAAUAAAGUUUUCCACGUGUGGAAUUUUGUAUGUACCAUAUGAAUAAGGAUCGGCUAACUCCGUGCCAGCAGCCGCGGUAAUACGGAGGAUCCGAGCGUUAUCCGGAUUUAUUGGGUUUAAAGGGAGCGUAGGUGGACAGUUAAGUCAGUUGUGAAAGUUUGCGGCUCAACCGUAAAAUUGCAGUUGAUACUGGAUAUCUUGAGUGCAGUUGAGGCAGGCGGAAUUCGUGGUGUAGCGGUGAAAUGCUUAGAUAUCACGAAGAACUCCGAUUGCGAAGGCAGCUUGCUGGACUGUAACUGACGCUGAUGCUCGAAAGUGUGGGUAUCAAACAGGAUUAGAUACCCUGGUAGUCCACACAGUAAACGAUGAAUACUCGCUGUUUGCGAUAUACAGUAAGCGGCCAAGCGAAAGCGUUAAGUAUUCCACCUGGGGAGUACGCCGGCAACGGUGAAACUCAAAGGAAUUGACGGGGGCCCGCACAAGCGGAGGAACAUGUGGUUUAAUUCGAUGAUACGCGAGGAACCUUACCCGGGCUUGAAUUGCAACUGAAUGAUGUGGAGACAUGUCAGCCGCAAGGCAGUUGUGAAGGUGCUGCAUGGUUGUCGUCAGCUCGUGCCGUGAGGUGUCGGCUUAAGUGCCAUAACGAGCGCAACCCUUAUCGAUAGUUACCAUCAGGUUAUGCUGGGGACUCUGUCGAGACUGCCGUCGUAAGAUGUGAGGAAGGUGGGGAUGACGUCAAAUCAGCACGGCCCUUACGUCCGGGGCUACACACGUGUUACAAUGGGGGGUACAGAAGGCAGCUACACGGCGACGUGAUGCUAAUCCCGAAAGCCUCUCUCAGUUCGGAUUGGAGUCUGCAACCCGACUCCAUGAAGCUGGAUUCGCUAGUAAUCGCGCAUCAGCCAUGGCGCGGUGAAUACGUUCCCGGGCCUUGUACACACCGCCCGUCAAGCCAUGGGAGCCGGGGGUACCUGAAGUGCGUAACCGCGAGGAGCGCCCUAGGGUAAAACUGGUGACUGGGGCUAAGUCGUAACAAGGUAGCCGUACCGGAAGGUGCGGCUG